CGCUGGCGGCAUGCCUUACACAUGCAAGUCGAACGGCAGCACGGAGCUUGCUCUGGUGGCGAGUGGCGAACGGGUGAGUAAUAUAUCGGAACGUACCCAGGAGUGGGGGAUAACGUAGCGAAAGUUACGCUAAUACCGCAUACGACCCAAGGGUGAAAGUGGGGGAUCGCAAGACCUCAUGCUCAUGGAGCGGCCGAUAUCUGAUUAGCUAGUUGGUGGGGUAAAGGCCUACCAAGGCAACGAUCAGUAGCUGGUCUGAGAGGACGACCAGCCACACUGGAACUGAGACACGGUCCAGACUCCUACGGGAGGCAGCAGUGGGGAAUUUUGGACAAUGGGGGCAACCCUGAUCCAGCAAUGCCGCGUGAGUGAAGAAGGCCUUCGGGUUGUAAAGCUCUUUUGUCAGGGAAGAAAAGGUCGCAGCUAAUAUCUGUGGCUCAUGACGGUACCUGAAGAAUAAGCACCGGCU
rnacentral:rRNA from 1 species